CAGGAAAUGUUCCUCUGCAGCAGUAUGAAGGCUACUUGGAUUUGUUAAGCCAAGCUCUGGAAAGUGAAAUCAGAAGCAAGCAAAAGCAAGCCUCAAAACACGGUUUGCAAAUGAGAGAGACAGGAAAAACAGGAGCCAGUAGCAGCUGUACAAAUUUGAAUCCGCCCCAAAGACCACUUAGAUCUCCGGUUUCAGAGAAUGGUGAGCAGGUAAGAUGAUGGGUGACCCUGUUCUAAAUUCACUUGGGCCAUGGGAAACAGCUCAGAUUUAAGACAACCCCUGUCUCACUUGAACUAGAAGGUAAGGCAUGCCCUGUCCCUGCACUGCUUUUCUCAUCUAAGGGAAAUGCAAAGGUGG
rnacentral:lncRNA from 1 species